CCUCUUGCAACUUCCUGUUGGGAAGGAGAAUGUCCCACAAGUAAUGGAUGAUCCGUGGACUGGAUACACUACAAGAGAAAUAAAUUUAUCAGGUAAGCAUAAAUUAUGUUUUCUCCCAGGACCUUUGUAGCAGGUGCAACACCCGGCUGAUUUUAUAUAUAAUCUGUGUUCUCCCAGGACCUUUUUAGCAGGUGCAACACCCGGCUGAUUUUACUGACCUGCCGGCUAAAAGUUUAGCCAAUAUUAAGCUUAAUUUAGCUGCUAAUAAAAUUGCACAAAUUAUUAAAUGCAUUUUGUUCUUUGGAUAGCAUGAAAAUAUUACUGCCUCCACCUGGCUGGAAAAAUCUUCUGUGGAGAACACUGUUUAUAUGUAUGUGUGUAUAUAUCACAUGUGUAUACACACACACUGGUUAGCCCUUGAACGUUUGCAAUUUCAGUCUAAUUCAAUUUCUUGCCACAAAGUGCAGGUUUGUACAAGUAGAUCUGUAGCCCUAUAGGUGAGAACUAUUUCAGUCAUUUUGUGUUCCAUCGUGGAGCAUUUCACUGUAAGUACCUGAAUUAAUCUGUAAAAUUAUACUGGUUCGUUGAAAAGAAUGUUGGUUAGAUUAAAAAAAGUUUAGUUAAUUUUUGUGUAUGUAGGUAAGUAUAUUCAAUAUGUGGGCUUAGUUUUAGAUUACUGUCUUGUGACGUCUAUUGAGCAAAUAUUAAUUUUGUAUCUGGUAUGCCUUUUAUGAUUUUGAAAUUAUCUGGUUAUGGACGUUUGUUUUGGAUCAGUUUAAUUGUGUAAUCUUUAUUUUGUGGUAGGCUUUAAAAUAGGUGGUUGUCUUUUUUUCUUUUUUUUUCUGUUUAUGCUCUUUCAAAAUCAAGAAUGAAAAUUGGCAAUGUUUUAUAUUUGAGAAACUUUUUUUAUUUGUUUACAAUAUUAAAAAUGCAGUUCACUAUAUAAAUAUUAUAGGCAUGAAAGUUAAAUAUGCCAUGUAACUUGCAUGACCUUGCUUUGGGUACAUUUAUGGUCAAAAUGCUGUAACACUUUAGAAGGCAUUUUAUAACAAUUUACAGUUGGAGGCUGUUGCUCUAAUUCAUUUCAGGUCUAAAAUAUCUUAGUUGGAAACAGUGAAAUAUUUAUACUUCACAGUGCCUUUCCAGAUCUUCCACCUUAGGUUCUGCUGCAAAAAGCACCAGUGCUGAAGAUGCUGCAAGCACCAAAUCAUAGCUCAUAGAAUAAGGUCCUGAGAUAGUUACCACCCAUAAGGAGGAAUCCUUUCAGUGUAUGCCAUUGGUGAGCCGAUGCGCAUGGACCGUAGAAGGGCUCCAUGUAGAAGGUAAAAUUGGCAUAAUAUUCAGAAAUGUAUAACAAUGCAUAAUAGUGCAAGUUACUGUUUUUGAUCACUAUUCAUGCUUUUUUCACUUUACAUUAAUCUAAAAUAGUUGUUCGGAGGCAUUUAAUAUUUUUUUCUAUUUUGUGUGUAUCUCUAGAACACUUGAUGGCAUACUGUUUUGUUUUUUUACUUUAGGACUGUUAGCUGAAAUAUUGCUGUGCAGUACAUUUGUGAUUCACAUUUUGUAGGAAGGAUUUACUGUUUUCUGUACUUAAAGAGUUAUAUUAAACUGCUCUCUAUAUACUGUUACAAUAUCAAUGGCAAUUUACCUUAAAGGGACAGUAUACACUCAUUUUCAUAUAACUGCAUGUAAUAGACACUACUAUAAAGAAUAAGAUUCCCAGAUACUGAUAUAAAUUCCGGUAUAAAACUGUUUAAAAACUUGGCUCUGUUGAAAAGGUAGCUGGAAAGCCCACUGCAAUUGGGAAAUAAGACCCUCCCCCUCCAUUUUGCAUAUGAAAAGACCCUUUACACAAACAAAAGCAAGCUGGAGAAGGUAGCUGACGGUAUUCUCAUAACUUUGGGCCUUGGUUAGGAGUCUGAAAAUCAGAGCAAUGUUAUUUAAAAAUAAGCAAAACUAUACAUUAAAAAAAAAAAAACUAUGGGCUAUAUAAAUCUACAAAACAUUUAUGAAAAGAAAGUGUAUCAUGUCCCUUUAACUAACAAAUAUAUAUAUUACACUUCCCAGAUCUAGAUCAGUUUUAAAACAAAUAUGUUCUAUUGAGAACUAGAAAUUUAUAUUUCAUUUUUUUCCUCUUUAAGAGCCUUUAGAUUUUUUUACUUUUAUGACUUUCUUAGUGAGAACUAAUAUAGGCUAUCCCCCUUUUUCAGAGCAUGUGGACUUGGCAUAGUUUUCAACUGGUUGUUUUACAGUGGGUUGCUUAUGCGUGUUAUCUGCUGCUAAGACGGUUUUGAGAAACUUGUACCCAAUGUGACAUUUGAGGUGUUAAUCACUAUCAUCAUCGUAUAUUGAGUUUAGGCACUCAAUUAUCCAUUUUACACAUUUACGGUAAUUGGAUCUGUGUAAAUUGAUUGUGUACAAAAAAUUAAAGCUUGAUAAAAAUCCUAGGAAUCACUGCCAUAUUUUUCUUUAAUCUCCAAGUAAAAAUAUUCCUAGACUCCUAAAAUGUUCUCUGUGGUUCCAUAGUUGCAAAUAUGUGGUUAUUUUGAUAAAACCGUUUCAUUGUCAAGCCAGGAAAUAAGGAUUCAGCAUUUGUAAUUUGAAUGUGCUUUUAAACACUUCUGUAGCUUUAAACAAAAAUCUGUUAUGAAGGAGCAUUUAAAGGGCCUUAAUAAAGCUUUAUGCUUGUU